rnacentral:tRNA from 2 species
UCCUCAAUAGCUCAGUUGGUUAGAGCAUCUGACUGUUAAUCAGAGGGUCGUAGGUUCAAGUCCUACUUGAGGAG